rnacentral:rRNA from 1 species
AUACGGAGGGUGCAAGCGUUGUCCGGAUUUAUUGGGUUUAAAGGGUGUGUAGGCGGUGUAUUAAGUCAGUGGUGAAAGCCUGCGGCUCAACCGUAGAACUGCCAUUGAUACUGACACACUUGAGUAUGGACGAGGUAGGCGGAAUUUAUGGUGUAGCGGUGAAAUGCAUAGAUACCAUAAAGACCACCGAUAGCGAAGGCAGCUUACUAGGCCAUAACUGACGCUGAGGCACGAAAGCGUGGGGAGCGAACAGGAUUAGAAACCCCAGUAGUCC